CUGUGCCUAUAAUCCCAUGAGGCAUCUCAUGUCACAAAAAAAUAAAGAAUGCACGGAGAAUUAAAGGAAAGAAUUAAGAGUUCGUUAUGAAAUAGACUCUUCUAUUUCAUCGCAUUAAAAAGUGGGCGUCCCUUAUCUAUUUUGGCGUAAAGUUCCUUCCUAGAGAAGGACUCCUCCUCUUCCAUACCCACACAUCCCAUAGCACCAUCAGAUGGCGCACAAAAAUAAGUGAUGUGUGGA
rnacentral:lncRNA from 1 species